GCUCGUGUAGCUCAACGGCAGAGCAGCGGUUUUGUAAACCGCAGGUUGCGGGUUCAAAUCCCGCCGCGAGCU
rnacentral:tRNA from 1 species